rnacentral:rRNA from 1 species
AUUGAACGCUGGCGGCAGGCUUAACACAUGCAAGUCGAGCGGCGAUGAGGUGCUUGCACCUUAUCUUAGCGGCGGACGGGUGAGUAAUGCUUAGGAAUCUGCCUAUUAGUGGGGGACAACAUUCCGAAAGGAAUGCUAAUACCGCAUACGUCCUACGGGAGAAAGCAGGGGCUCUUCGGACCUAGCGAUAAUAGAUGAGCCUAGGUCGGAUUAGCUAGUUGGUGGGGUAAAGGCCUACCAAGGCGACGAACUGUAGCGGGUCUGAGAGGAUGAUCCGCCACACUGGGACUGAGACACGGCCCAGACUCCUACGGGAGGCAGCAGUGGGGAAUAUUGGACAAUGGGGGGAACCCUGAUCCAGCCAUGCCGCGUGUGUGAAGAAGGCCUUAUGGUUGUAAAGCACUUUAAGCGAGGAGGAGGCUACUGGGACUAAUACUCUUGGAUAGUGGACGUUACUCGCAGAAUAAGCACCGGCUAACUCUGUGCCAGCAGCCGCGGUAAUAC